rnacentral:rRNA from 1 species
UACGGGGGGAGCAAGCGUUGUUCGGAUUUACUGGGCGUAAAGGGCGCGUAGGCGGUCAGCACAAGUCAGUUGUGAAAUCUCCGGGCUUAACUCGGAAAGGUCAACUGAUACUGUGCGACUAGAGUGCGGAAGGGGCAACUGGAAUUCUCGGUGUAGCGGUGAAAUGCGUAGAUAUCCUGAGGAACACAGGUGGCGAAAGCGGCGCGCUGGAUCCCUUCUGACGCUGAGGCGCGAAAGCCAGGGGAGCAAACGGG